UCCCUCGUGGCUCAAUUGGUAGAGAAUCUGCCUGCAAUGCAGGAGCUCCAGGUUUGAUCCCUGGGUUGGGAA
rnacentral:tRNA from 1 species